rnacentral:miRNA from 14 species
UCUGCCUCAAACCUCCAAGGCUGUCUGUUCUCUUUGCCUGGAGCUCAGCCACCAGGUGCUCUGUUACCAACAGCAGCAGCAGCAGCAGCAGCAGCAGCAGCAGCAGCAGCAGCAGCAGCAGCAGCAGCAGCAGCAGCAAC